CGACUAAGCGUACACGGUGGAUGCCCUGGCAGUCAGAGGCGAUGAAGGACGUGCUAAUCUGCGAAAAGCGUCGGUAAGGUGAUAUGAACCGUUAUAACCGGCGAUGUCCGAAUGGGGAAACCCAGUGUGAUUCGUCACACUAUCGUUAACUGAAUACAUAGGUUAACGAGGCGAACCGGGGGAACUGAAACAUCUAAGUACCCCGAGGAAAAGAAAUCAACCGAGAUUCCCCCAGUAGCGGCGAGCGAACGGGGAGCAGCCCAG
rnacentral:rRNA from 1 species